rnacentral:lncRNA from 1 species
CAAGGAGACAACAUGGAUGGUAAAGAUUAAGGAGGAAGGCCAGUACAGCAAGUACUUUUUCUUCUUCUUCGGCCCUGAGCUAACAUCUGUUACCAAUCUUCCUUUGUUUGCUUGAAAAGAUUGUUGCUGAGGUCACAUCUCUGCCAGUCUUCCUCUUUUUUGUAUGUGGGACAGCAUGGCUUGACGAGUGGUGCAUAGACCCGUCCCUGGGAUCCAAACCUACGAAUCCCGGCUUCCAAAGCAGAACGCAUGAACUUAACCACUACGCCACCGGGCCGGCCCCACAGCAGGCAUCUUGACGCCUGCCACACUCCAGGGCUCGUACAUGAGAGAGCUGUCUUUCCCAGGACGUCAAGGUCCUGGCAUCAAGAUUCUGCCUCACAAGGCCAAGCAGACUGAAGAUGAAACCUAACGAGAAAAGUCCA